rnacentral:rRNA from 1 species
CGGCGGACGGGUGAGUAACGCGUAGGAAUCUGCCCAGUAGUGGGGGAUAGCCCGGGGAAACUCGGAUUAAUACCGCAUACGCCCUACGGGGGAAAGCAGGGGAUCUUCGGACCUUGUGCUAUUGGAUGAGCCUGCGUUGGAUUAGCUAGUUGGUAGGGUAAGGGCCUACCAAGGCGACGAUCCAUAGCUGGUCUGAGAGGAUGAUCAGCCACACUGGAACUGAGACACGGUCCAG